AUGCACAGCUUCCUGUUUUGGUCUGAUAGCUUCCCCUGGGCUUUCAUAGAUGCAAAAUUACUCACACAGAGAUGGGUUGCCCAUGCAAAAAAGGGCAUUUAUUGUUUGGAGCAAUACUGUCUAAUUGGUCCAAGCACAGAAGAAAAGAACAUUAAUGCUAUUUGCUCUGUGUUUGAUAAAACCUCUGUUUGAUACAACAGAGCACGGGACCAUGGAAAGCCUCCAUGCAACCUGACUUUAAGGAUGUCAUAAGCAAAGACAAGAAGUCAUGACUAAGUCCACUGCAUGGAAAGAUGGGUGUGUUAAUAUAUUUUCUCUCAGGUAUUGGUGCCAACUUUGAUUUCUUUUGUUAUCCAAACUUAUUCUCAGAUUAAGUAGAUUGUUUUAUAAAUGUCACUGAAUCUUAGAAUAAACGUGCCUGUCGGUGAAUGAAUAGAUUAAACACACACACACACACACACACACACACACACACACACACCGAAGUAUUAUUCGGCCAUAAAAAAGAAGGAAAGUCCAUUAUUUGAGACAACACGGAUGGAACUGAAUUUGAGGGCAUUAUGCUAAGUGAAAUAAGCCAGAUGGAGAAAGAUAAAUAUUGUAUGUUUUCACUUAUAUGCAGAAUCUAAAAAAGCUGAACUCAUAGAAAUAGAGAGUUGAGUGGUGGUUGCCAGGGGUGGGCAGGUGGGAAAAAUGAGGAGAUGCUGGUCAAAGUACAAACUCCCAGCUAUAAGAUGAAUAAGCUCUGGGAAUCUUGUGUAUGGCAUUAAAUUAUAUUGACUAUAAUUAGCAAUACUAUGUUAUAUACUUAAGAGUGAAGAGAGUAAAUUUUAAUUGUUAUCACCACACAUACGCAAAAUGGUAAUUAUGUGAGAGGAUGGGGGUGUUAAAAUUGUGGUAAUCAUUUUGCAAUAUAUAUGUGUAUCAAAUCAUCACAUUGUACAUGUUAAAUUUACACGUUACAUGUCAAUAAUAUCCCAAGAAAGCUGAAAAAAUUAAAUUAAAAACACACUUUGUGUAAAAAAAGAAAGUUAAAUGGAACUUCUAAUGCAAUUUUUAAAAAGUUAAGGAGAAAAUUGGCUUUAUCAUUAGAAGUGAUAACAUAUAAAUGCUGAACAAUGUACAAAUUCUACUGCUUGUAAUAAAAGAUUAAGCCUUAAAAAAAAAAAGCUGGGCAUAAAAUGCUUUAAAUUUUGGUUCACAUCAAUUUGUCCAUGAAGGACGAUUUUCUGAAUUCUUUACUGAGCUUAUGUUUUUGAAAUGGAGGUAAAAAGGUUUCUCAACUCAAAACCAUAAUAGACUAGUUGCUAUAUGUUCAGUAAGUAGUUCUGACUAUGAUUCAGGGUAUUCUUAGGGGGUUUCCAUGAGACAGGACAAUAGAUACUUUGUGGUUUGGCUUUUUAUACUGGUUAUUGAUAGAUAAAACAAGUUCUCAUCUACACAUUGUUUUCACUGCCUUCUUUUGUAACAUUCCCCUAUAAGCAUGUUGUUAUUAAAUGAUUUGAUAAACCAUGGGCUCAGAUUGAUUAAACUCUAUGGGACAGCUGCAUCACAACUGAACCAAUGGAUGUUUUGUUAAGAAGUAUCUUUUAGUGAAAUAAUUCAACCUGUCUGUGGUUUAACGAUAGUAUAUCAGAGUUGACAGAGUAUUUUUUCCAAGCAUUUGCUUUUACUAUUUGGGAAACACAAUUGUGAACACAAGACAACUUCCCAAUGAACUCUCUCAUCUAUUGUUGGCUUUCUCAGCAUCUCUCUCCAUAUAUAUAUAUAUAUAUAUAUAUAUAUAUAUAUAUAUAUUUUUUUUUUUUUUUUAAGAGAGACAUUGAGAGAGUGUGAGCAGAGAGGGGCAGAGGGAGAAAGAGAAUCUUAUGCAGGAUCCACACCCAGCGUGGGGCCCAAGGUGGGGCUGGAUCUCACAACUCUUGAGAUCAUGACCUGAGCCUGAAACCAAGAGUCAGUUGAUUAACUGACUGAGCCACCCAGGCAUCCUGGAAUAUUCUUUGUUUAGUUCUUUGCUUGCUUGUUUUAGCUCUGCUGGCCUGGAGAACAGAGCUGGAGUGGCAAACUGGGACUGGCAGAGUCACUACCUGCCCCUUUUUAUUAGUCCCUAGUACUUGGUCCAAGGCUUGAAGACUUGUGAGAGUAGAAGCCAGAAGACCCACACAGUCUAAGCAAGUGGUCUUUCAAACAAAGCUGUGUU
rnacentral:lncRNA from 1 species